rnacentral:lncRNA from 1 species
UUGAGCACUGAUAAGCACUCUUUAAAGAGAAACAUUUUAAUGUUUUGGAAGUGCUUUCCAUAGUAAUAAGCCUAUCCUCCCUUGACUACUCAGCCCAGCUGACUAGCCUAGCUAGGAAACAGCCAGUCAGGCUGACAGUUAAUAAAAACUCAAGCUCAUGCCUGUAUUUACAGUGCUUUAGGAGGCUGAGGUGGGAGGAUCACUUGAGGGCCUUAGAUCAAGACCAACCUGGGCAACAUAGCCAGACCCCAUUCUCUAACAACAACAACAAAAAUUAGCAGGGGGUGGUGGGAGGCUGAGGCAGGAGGAUCACUUGAACCCAGGAGUUCCAGGUUGCAGUGAGCUAUGAUCACACCACCGCAAUACAGCCUGUGCAACAGCUUGUACAACCCUGUCUCCAAAAAAAUAACCCAAGUUUUCAAUAUGUAUAGCCACAUAUAAACUAGAACUUAAGACCUAAGGAUUCAUGUGAAAGCAGAAACUGAGUAAGCAGAAGCCCUAGGGUAGAGAAGGGCAUAGAAAGUCAAACAAGAGAGCAAAACAACCUGAGGCAAGAUGAUGACAAAGCAAAAAUGCAGAGCAAACAUGAACGCACACACGUACACACACAUAGUUUCUCCAGAUGCCUCGAUUUCCUAAUAGCUUUCUAGUUCCCCUUACUGAGAGGCAUAGCUACAUGCCGGGUCCUUUAGUGGGUUUCCAGUAAAAUCCCUGUCUCCCUUACUGCUCACGAUCCCUUGCAGUCUUGCUUAUUACAGCCCCCUUAUUUGAUCUGGCAUUUGUGUUCUUCACAAAAACAACUUUACUAAAACCAGAGGCAAAAUAUAAAAAUGCAUCUGUCAUCUAAUGAAGAAUAAAUCUAGUCUUUGUCUCCUGUUCCUGGUACAGAGCUUCAGAGAGGCUUGGGAUUUCCUGAUUAAUGGAAGUGUCUUUGUUAUUCAUAAGGAGCCCCUAUGGACUAUACCUGAGUUUAUACUUGGGGGCGACUCAAGGUAGGCCCUCACAUAGUUUCAAAGGACGGGCUGGCCAUGCCAGACAGACCAAGCAUAUGAUUAGAGGGUUGCAACUUUUAGCCACACCCCCAGAUGUUCAGAGAGUAAAGAGGAGCUGGAGAAGGAAGUUAAUAAUGUGGCCAAUAAAACUCUGGACACUCAAAGCUCAAGGAGCUUCCUGGUGGGUGAACACUUUGUGUGACUGGUAGUUAGUGUUAACUCCGGGUAGUUAGUGUCAGAAUUGAAAUGAAUUGCAGGAUACCCAGUUGGUGUCAGACAAUUGGUGUCAGAACAGUAUCUAUCACUCAUUAUUCACGUACCAACUAACAAAAUUAUUAACUGUUUUCCACCAAAGUAGUACAUUUUCAUUAAGGAAAAAAAAAAGGAUAACCAACAUGAACAUUUUAGUAGCUAUACGUCAACAUUUUUAACUCUACUAGGAAAAUUCAUCAAAGAGGUUACAAAACUUACCUCAAUUUUCAAUAUGGAGGAAAAUACUAUUAUCUAUAUCAAAUUAUGCCCAGAUACCAAGGCCAAUCUGUGUUUUUAAUUCUCGUCAAGUGAAGAGGCCUAUUAUUUUAAACAAACUUCCUAUAUUCUAAUUACACUGAUGUGAAACCACACAAUAAAAAUCUAAUAUUCCCUUGUACUUCUUUCUUAAAGAAUGGUUCUGGGCCGGGCGUGGUGGCUCAAGCCUGUAAUCCCAGCACUUUGGGAGGCCGAGACGGGCGGAUCACGAGGUCAGGAGAUCGAGACCAUCCUGGCUAACACGGUGAAACCCCGUCUCUACUAAAAAAUACAAAAAAACUAGCCGGGCGAGGGUGAGAAGCCUGUAGUCCCAGCUACUCAGGAGGCUGAGGCAGGAGAAUGGCGUGAACCCGGGAGGCAGAGCUUGCAGUGAGCCGAGAUCCGGCCACUGCACUCCAGCCUGGGCGACAGAACAAGACUCCGUCUCAAAAAAAAAAAAAAAGAAUGGUUCUGGGCCGGGCGCGGUGGCUCACCCCUAUAAUCCCAGCACUUCGGGAAGUCGAAGCAGGCGGAUCACAAGGUCAGGAGAUACAGACCAUCUUGGCUAACACGGUGAAAUCCCAUCUCUACUAAAAAUACAAAAAAAUUUAGCUGGGCGUGGUGGCACAUGCCUGUAAUUCCAGGUACUCGGGAGGCUGAGGCAGGAGAAUGGCGUGAACCCAGGAGGCGGAGCUUGCAGUGAGCCGAGAUCGCACCACUGUACUC